AUUUCAAAAAACCAAUACCACUGUGAUGAAUAUGGCAUCUGCAGAAUUGGAGGCAAGGAUAACUUCUUCCAUUGCAAGAGAUGUGAGGGGAGAUACAGCGGAUCAAAGCAGCAAAUCCUCAGAUCCCACAUCGAGAAGCUUUCAGUGCUGCA